AUACGGAGGGUGCGAGCGUUAAUCGGAAUUACUGGGCGUAAAGCGCGCGUAGGUGGCUAUGUCAGUCGGAUGUGAAAGCCCUGGGCUUAACCUGGGAAUUGCAUUCGAUACUGCAUGGCUAGAGUAUAGUAGAGGGUAGUGGAAUUCCAGGUGUAGCGGUGAAAUGCGUAGAUAUCUGGAGGAACAUCAGUGGCGAAGGCGGCUACCUGGACUAAUACUGACACUGAGGUGCGAAAGCGUGGGGAGCAAACAGGAUUAGAUACCCCAGUAGUCC
rnacentral:rRNA from 1 species